UACGUAGGGUGCGAGCGUUGUUCGGAAUUACUGGGCGUAAAGAGUGUGUAGGCGGUGCUCUAAGUUCGGUGUGAAAUCUCCUGCUUAACUGGGAGGGUGCGCCGGAAACUGGAGUGCUUGAGCGUGGGAGAGGAAAGCGGAAUUCCUGGUGUAGCGGUGAAAUGCGUAGAUAUCAGGAGGAACACCUGUGGUGUAGACGGCUUUCUGGACCAUAGCUGACGCUGAGACACGAAAGCGUGGGUAGCAAACAGG
rnacentral:rRNA from 1 species